rnacentral:sRNA from 1 species
CCUGCCGCAGGUUCGGGUCGAACGCAGUGAGACAACGGAGCCGUUUACGGCGACGGCCCGAAGGGCGAGCGAAGCGAGUCAUCCUGCACGACCCACCA